CACUCAAAGGACCCUCUCUGAAGACUUGGUUGACUUGGUUGGGAGUGGGGGCGUGAUGACCGAUAGUGUCUUUUCUGCCUUGUCCUUGUUUCUCGGCUGUAUUUCCGGAACUGGAGCAAGAGUCAGUGUUGAGAGAAUGUUUUGCAAGAUGACUUUUGGCUGGAUGGGAGGAAAUCAAUGGCUUAAUUGGCAGAGAAGAAGAUAUGGGGUCUGCCAUGGCUUGGACAUUUGACCCCUCCAAAUCUCAUGUUGAAAUUUGAUCCCCAGCGUUGGAUGUGGGGCCUAAUGGGAGAAGUCUGGGUCAUGGGAGUGGAUCUCUCAUGAGCAGCUUGGUGUCAUCUUUGAGGUAAUGAGUAAAGUUUUGCUCUUUUAGUUCCCAUAAGAGCUGGUUGUUAACAAGAACCUGGCACCACCCCUCUCUCUUGCUCCCUCUCUCCCCAUGCGAUCUCCACACACACUGGCUCCUCUUCCCCUUCCUCCACGAUUGGAAGCCUUCUGAAGCCCUUACCAGACGCUGAUGCCAGCACCAUGCUUCUUUUCCAGCCUGUAGAAUUGUGAGCCAAAUAAACCUCUUUUUCUUUAUAAAUUA